UUUGAGCAAGGAACAAGUUUGGAGUGAUGUUGGUUGUGCAUCAGUACAUAUCACAGGGUUUGAAGGGCAUACUGAGGAGACUUUGAAAUCGUUGACUAAUGCUAGUGCUUAUUGUAAGGCAGAGAGUGGUUGGCACAAGGAAGAUGAAAUCCUUGAUGACAGUUGGGUUCAGCAAAGUAGAAAGAAAGGGCCAGCUAUCUCGCAUCUCGAUGGAUUGAAUUGGGAGGUUCUUGUUGUCAAUGAUUCGGUUGUCAGUGCCAUUUUUCUACCUGGUGGUUGGCCAUGCUGUGGCCAGUCACAUCGCUGAAGGUUUGACGAAGACCUUGUGGUUUGCUAUCCUGCACUUGAUUCUUUUUCAAUUUGCCUCCCGUGAUAUGGUGAUCGUCAACACAAUGGCUUCUGUUUUCUUGAGGCUAACAUUCUCUCGACAGUAUAACUUGGAUGGAAAUGGAAGCUGAUUAUAUUGGCCUGCUCUUAAUUGCUUCCGCUGGAUAUGAUCCACGGGUGGCGCCCAGUGUAUCAGAAACUGGGAGAAGUCAACGGUGACUCGGCACUUAGGUGUGUUUGUUUGAGGUGAAAAUGGGAGGAAAGAAAAGGAAGGGAAAGAAAUUAGAAGGAAAAUAGUUAUUUUCCUUUGUUUGGUUGAGGAGAGAAAUGGGAGAGGAAGGACAAUGAAUGGAAAAAUAUUGGUGGGACCCACCAAUUUUCUUUCCCUCCAACAAUGGAAAGAAAAUAGAGAGAAAACUAUUUAUCUCUCUCUACUUCCAAUAUUACCCCUUUACCUUUUUCAAUAUAUUUUAUAAUAUAAGGGUAAACUUGUCUUUUUAUACUAUUUCUUUCCUUCUUAUUUUCCUUUCAUCCAAACACAUCUAAAGAAAAUAAAAAUCCACUCAAUUUCUUUCCUUUCCUUUCUUUCCUUUCUAUUUCUUUCCUCUCUAUUUCUUUCCUUCCAACCAAACAUAUUAUGGAAUAUUUCUCCACUCAUCCAACUGGAAGAAAGAGAGCAGGGUUGCUCUCCCAGGCCAAAAUAAUGGAAGAAGCAUCCACUAUAUACAAGAAUGCUAGGUCUGGAAGAAUUAUUGAAGGAUUUCUUUAGACCAGCAGAACUUAUAUUGCCCACACCAGAAUCAACAAAGAACCUGUAGAUCAAACUUAAAAGAAUUCCGUUUUAGCCAAAAAGAAAAGCUAGAGAAUUUUCUGUAUGAUGAAAUUUUCAACAAUUUAGUUUCAUAGAUAGAUAUUAUGUAUAGUGUUAAUUGUACAGCGUUUCAAAGAAAAUUAAUGAUUAGAUCAUCUGA